rnacentral:misc_RNA from 1 species
AAAAAAAAAAAAAAAAGAAAGACAUUGGUUAACUUCAGAUUCAAAGAUACAUUGAAAGAGUAUUUCUCACACGCUCUUUGCUGUAUUUUACUUGAAUACAUGUGGGCAGGAUUUGCACAUGUUGCACUUCAACGUUGGAGCCAGACCAGAGAAAAGGCCAAUCAUGCUUUGGUUGAGCCAUUGUCUGGUCUUUUUAACGUGAUUACUGUGAAUCUGUUCCAUGCUAUGAUUGAGUUAAUGGGUGCUUUUGAUCCUACCUUCAGGAAGGCGUGCUUUGCUGGAGCAACCUCUUUGCCAUUUGGAAAGGAAGAAUUGGCUUUAUUUUAACCAGAAAACCAUUUUCAAUUAUCUGAUCAAUAAAAUUAUUAUGGAAUCUGGGUUCUUGGAAGCCCUUAGGACGGAUGGUGGAAGUGGCUAUUGAAAAGAAAGAUCCUUUUCAAAGGAUGAGGUGACUUCAUCUUCUUAAUAAUGAGAGAGAAACCAUCCAAGGACAUGACCAGAAUACACCUCACAUGGAAAUUGAAAAUUUUUUUUCCGGUAUAUGUUCAGCACCAAGACCUGUAAGAAGCUGUAUUCUUGCAAAUUAAACUUGUCAGUGGAGAAUUAGAAUAUGGGGGGGAUGAGUAUCAAGACAAUUCCUUGUGACACAGAUUCAGGUAGAUAAAGAAUUUCUUAGUAAAGAAUAAAGAGAUUCAUUCAAACUUUUUCUCUUGGCCAUUCCUGUGGAGCGGCAACAUUCUCUCUUCUCUCAUGGAUCUCCUUCCCGUAAGAAAGGAGAAGAAACAGAAAAGAUGAAAAAAUAUAGAGCAGUUGUAAGGAGAUAGAAUGAAGCUAGAAGCGAAAAUUUCAUUUUAACUGUAGCUGAAUCGAUCAAGGAUUUAAGUAUCCCUGAGAUAAAAGAGGCUGUGCAGGAACAAAAGCAUAUAAAGAUGAGUACUGCAAUCAGAGAGAGUCUCAAAUCAAUUGUUAGUUGAUAGGCUGGGUCUGGGGAAACACGUCUGAGCCCAUAUCGACACCAUGCCAUGCCAAAAUCCAAAAAACUUUCUUUACCAUUUCUAUGUACAUAAAUGUUUACUCCCUCGUCUAUCUAGAGAGCAUUUUUCACUUUUGUAAACUUAUGUUUCGUUUGAUAAGACGUUGGAUAAGUCAUAUUGAAAUAGAACAAUUUAUUAUAUUAUAUUUUUUUAAUGUCUCAUAUUGAACUAGACAUUUUAGAUUUAGUAUGACUUACCCACUAGACAGGUCCAAAUCCACCUAUUCCAAGAAGAUUAGUAGGAUGAAAAUUUUUAGUUGCCU